GAUGAAGAACGUAGCGAAAUGCGAUACUUGGUGUGAAUUGCAGAAUCCCGUGAACCAUCGAGUCUUUGAACGCAAGUUGCGCCCGAAGCCACUAGGCCGAGGGCACGCCUGCCUGGGCGUCACACGCCGUUGCCCCCCCAUCUACUCCUUCGGGAUUGCGGGGGGGCGGAUGAUGGCCUCCCGUGCGCCUAGCCGCGCGGUUGGCAUAAAUACCAAGUCCUCGGCGACGCACGCCACGACAAUCGGUGGUUGCGAAACCUCGGUUGCCCGUCGUGUGCGUUCGUCGCGCAUCGAGNNCUCGAAAAAAUGCUCGGCUCCGGCUGGGCUUUCAACGCGACCCCAGGUCAGGCGGGGUUACCCGCUGAAUUUAAGCAUAUCAAUAAGCGGAGGA
rnacentral:misc_RNA from 1 species